GUGCGGGGGGGUGGUUUGGUGGUGGUGGUGGUGGCACUGAAAACACAGAUUAAUGAAGUGUUGUUGCUGAUGUUGCUGUUAUUCGGCAAUAAAAUGGGUUGUAAAUCCACCAUUGUUGUAGCUUGAGGAGAGAGAAAAUGGUGGGUUUUUUUAGGAGGGAUGAAGGAAAGUGAUGGUGAGGAGAGAGAAAAGACCGACCAAGGGCAAGUUAAUGAGAUAGGGUUUUAGUUAGGGAUGAUGAUGGUGGAAUAAGAAGAAAAAGAAGAAGAUGAUGACAAUGAUGAUUGAUGGCGUGAAGGAAGAAGAAUGCCCAGAAAUUGCGUGAAGAAGAAGAGCCCAGAAAAAAAAUUGGGUUUUUUUUUUUUUUUUUUUUUGAUAACAUUUUUUUUUAAAUAACAGUAGUUAAUUAAAUUUUUGGGUUUAAUUAAUAUAAUUAAGUGUUAAUAUUAGAAUUAGUAGAGAAAUUAGUUGAGUAAGGGCAAAAAAGUAAUUUUAUGCUAACGGAGACUUAACAGAAUGGACGAAAAAUGCUCAUUAAGGGCAUUUUAUGUCAUUGUUUUAAACCUCGGGGGUAUUUGGUGCAUUCUGGAAAGUUUAGGGGUAUUUGGUGCAUUAAGGCAAACCUCGGGGGCAUUUCAUGAAAAAUCCGAUAAUUUUUCCUUACUAUACAUUUUUCAAAAUCUCUAAACGUGGCCCGAACUCUAAAACCCCUAAACCAUUUUUUAACAUUGUUUUUUACCAAACAAACCCUAUAUUUUUGCUGUGUAUGAAUACGUUAGUAACGCUACUCCACUAUGUUUGUUUUAGAGUGACCUCUAGAGGUGAUACUAUAUUAUUAGUAUUAUACAAUAGUAGUUGAAAGCCGAAAAGUGAUAAAGGGAUAGAAUAUUGAAAUGGUGGGAAUGAGAUCCACCGAGGAAGGUAAGGCCCAUAAUUAAAGAUCCCUAAUUCUCAAUUAUUUUACUUAUCAUAACUUAUCUAUCAACUUCAAUGGUCAAUAACAUACCAAUUAAUGCAUGCAUAUCCGCACAUCUAAAGCAUCUUAAACUGAUACCUAUGAUUUUAGUUGGUCAAACGUAGGAGAUAAUAGACACCGUCCCUUAUACCUAUUCUUCGCUUUAUGCUUACUUUGAUUAAUUCUUUGCUAUGUCUUUAGGAGCAAGACAUCUUAGGUAAAGAUGGUUGUGGGUCGGGUCGGGUCGCUCAGUACGAAAAAACACGAUCCGGCACGGGUACGAAGUCAUGGGCCGGGCAAGGUCUUAUUUGUUUUGGAAAAAGCACGACAAGACACAACAAGACUCGACCCAGCACGCUAAAUUUAGCCUUAGACACGACGGGUCGGCUCUGCCUGGCACGAAAGACCAUGGACUUGGACCGGGCCCAAGCCAUAUUUUGAACUUUUCGGCCCGACACGAUGCAACGUGUGCGUGGUGUGGGCCCAACCCAGUUAGCCCCACGUCCAGUGGGCUCGGCCCGACCUGGCCCACGAUCAUCUUUAAUCUUAGGAUUAUCUAAGGAUUCAAGAAGUCAUUCAUGUGGCAAUUUGUGUGACAAAACAAUACAUGAAGGUGGCCAACAAGCAAAGAAGCCUAAAGUGUAUGGCACCUCAAAUUCAAUUUGAUGAGUAGGGUUCUUACGAAAACGGUAUACGUGGUCGAUCUUAUGUAUUUACGUGUUUCUAUCAUACACAUUAACACUAACCCCUUCUCUCUUCCAAGAAGAAAUUGUAAGAAAGGCACUUGAGUUUUGAGUUUUAUAUGAAACUCAAUGUGACUGAAAAUCAAGAUUAUGAAAGCAAGUAUGCAAGCCGUUAACGGUUAACUGUUCAAUGGUUGUAUUAACUGAUUUGACUAAUUGAUUAAAUUAACUUAUUUGAUUAAUUUA